AAUGAACGUUGGCGGCGUGGAUUAGGCAUGCAAGUCGUGCGAGAAGUCUUUUGCUUGCAUUAGACGGAAAGCGGCGAAAGGGAGAGUAACGCGUGGGUACCUACCUCUAGGUUCGGGAUAGCUGCGGGAAACUGUGGGUAAUACCGAAUAACAUCUCCGGAUCAAAGGUGUGAUUCCGCCUGGAGACGGGCCCGCGUCUUAUUAGCUUGUUGGUGGGGUAAUGGCUUACCAAGGCAAUGAUGGGUAUCGGGCGUGAGAGCGUGACCCGACUCACUGGGACUGAGACACUGCCCAGACACCUACGGGUGGCUGCAGUCGAGAAUCUUCGGCAAUGGGCGCAAGCCUGACCGAGCGACGCCGCGUGCGGGAUGAAGGCCCUCGGGUUGUAAACCGCUGUCAGUUGGGAGGAAAUCACAUGGGGUUCUCUCCAUGUGUUGACCUAUCUUCAGAGGAAGGACGGGCUAAGUUCGUGCCAGCCGCCGCCGUAACAC
rnacentral:rRNA from 1 species